GGAUGUGAGGGCGAUCUGGCUGCGACAUCUGUCACCCCAUUGAUCGCCAGGGUUGAUUCGGCUGAUCUGGCUGGCUAGGCGGGUGUCCCCUUCCUCCCUCACCGCUCCAUGUGCGUCCCUCCCGAAGCUGCGCGCUCGGUGGAAGAGGAAAUAUAACACACCAGACGUAGUAGUGAUACAACAAAGAAAUGUCUGGACUUUCCCUCUAAUUUCCAGCCCUGGUGGGCAGGGCUCUG
rnacentral:sRNA from 1 species